GAUGAAUGCUAGCGGCGUGCUUGAGAUAUGCAAGUCGAGCGCCCCUUUUUGCCGCAAGGUGAGAAGGGAGCGGCGGACGGCUGAGUAAUAUACAGGAACCUGCCCCUAGGUAGAGGAUAGCCCAGCGAAAGUUGGGGUAAUACUUUAUGGUGUCCCGCUCUGCGGGACUAAAGAGCUUAACUGCUCGCCAAGGGAUGGGCCUGUAUCCUAUCAGGUAGUUGGUAAGGUAAUGGCUUACCAAGCCUAUGACGGGUAGCUGAUCUUAGAGGAUGAUCAGCCAGAGGGGGACUGAGACACGGCCCCCACUCCUACGGGAGGCAG
rnacentral:rRNA from 1 species